rnacentral:lncRNA from 1 species
AAGACCACGACCAGGACACAAACUCAACACUAGGGACUCUGAAACUGAAAUAUGCAAAGGCUAUGGCGCGGAUGGGUUGUAGGACAUGAAAACAAUAUGGCAAUAGACUUAUGGGACGAACACAAGGACACUUGAAACUAAGGGUAGAUGUGAACCUAACGAUAUGUCUGAAGCUUUGAUUACCACUUCAGGAGAACAAGUGUGGCCCGAUCUUCCGAAACUUUCUGGUAACUAUCGAUUUGGUGGAAACGAGAGACAUAUCAAUCCAGCUUGCGAACAACACAAUUCGAAACCCUACAAUUCUUUUUAUUUUUUUUGAUAUUUUUCUUUUACUAAGGAGCACUCAAGAAGUAACCCUAGGAAAUUUGAGCUUAAACAAGUAAAAGACGUGGCCUGUGGAAUUUUUUGAAGAUUGUGAAAAAUAUGAAAAAAAAUUAGGAGGUGAAAACUCAAACUUCAGAGGCG